rnacentral:rRNA from 1 species
CACGUAGGCGGCUCUUUAAGUCAGGGGUGAAAUCCUGGAGCUCAACUCCAGAACUGCCUUUGAUACUGAGGAGCUCGAGUCCGGGAGAGGUGAGUGGAACUGCGAGUGUAGAGGUGAAAUUCGUAGAUAUUCGCAAGAACACCAGUGGCGAAGGCGGCUCACUGGCCCGGUACUGACGCUGAGGUGCGAAAGCGUGGGGAGCAAACA